CGCCCAAAUUAUCCAUAUCUUCAUUCUCCCUGUUCACCAGAGAGGAUAUGGCGACUGCAAAGAGUUUGAUAAGAAGCCCUUUCGCUUCUCUCAGUAGUAGUUUUAUGUUUAAGAGCUCACCACCUCCGUUGCCCUGCCGGCCACAUCGCCUUAGGGUUUGUUGCUCGUCAAUCCAGAAAACGUUGACUGAAGUUGAUAGCUCAGGCGUCAUCGCAUGUCUUCGCGCCAACAGUGCAGAGCUGGCAUUUGAAGCUGCUUGUGCUGCUCUUGAAGGCGGCAUUUCAGUUCUUGAGAUUGUGAUGUCGACACCAGGUGUGUUUGAGGUUCUACAGCAGCUGGUACAUAUCUACCCUACGAGAGUCCUAGGAGUAGGGACAGUACUGAACAUUGAGGAUGCGGAAAGGGCAGUGACAGCUGGAGCCAAGUUUUUUAUGAGUCCUGUUAUAGUGAAGGAUAUUAUGGAUGAUUUUCGGUAUGGGGAUGUUUUGUACAUACCUGGAGUUAUGACUCCAACAGAGAUUUUGUCUGCCUAUGAUGCUGGUGCAAAAAUUGUGAAGAUUUAUCCUGUUUCUGCAUUAGGCGGCAUACACUAUAUAUCAGCCAUCAAGAAACCUUUUCCUCACAUCUCAAUGGUUGCUUCUCAAGGCAUAACAAUAGGUUCAGCUGGGGAAUAUAUUGCUAAGGGAGCAUCUUCAGUUGUUUUAUCAGAUGCCAUAUUUGAUAAAGAAGCAAUGGGUCAAAAGAAUUUCAAUAGAAUACAUCAACUCGCGAACAUGGCAGCUUUGCAGUGCAAGGAAGCAGUAGAUCGGAAGAAAAACCUCAUGCUGAUCAAUAAUUUGUAAUUGGUGUACUGGACACUUGAUACCAGAGAAGCAUGAACAUGUUUUGCAAUGCAGGGCUUAUAAUCUACAGCAGCAUUUUUUGUCGUUUCUGAGAGGAUUUCUCUUCUCUCUUUGGAUCGGAUCGUGGAUCAGCGAUUUUGAUUUGCACUUGCAACUGAUGGAUGUCACGGUGGACGAUUCCGUUCUCAGCUUCGCUGUCACAGUUGGCGCUCAGCUCAGUUCGAGCUUUGGGGUUGGAUCUUGGUGGGUAAUUGGGUUUGGGCUUGGGCUCCUCCACUGGACUUGGAUUGCUUGGAUCCCAAGCAUUUUUGGAUAAAUCCUCCGGCAAUCCCGCCUUCGAUAAGAGGCGAGGGUGUUUGACUCUUUUUGGGGUCUUAUUGCUCGAGACAACGUAGAGUCUGACCUUGGAGAUAAGAGAUAGAGAUCGAGAUAGCGACGAACCCUAAAAUCGAAGCUUUUUUCUGCAGAGACGCAAAGAUGAAUAUUGUCGAGAAGAUGAUGGCAAUAGGCCUUUCUACUGGCUUUGCUGCAUUCGUCGGAUUGUCGAUUUAUUUCACGGUCGAGAACUGGAAUAAUUACACCUAUCAUAAAGCUCAAGUUCAGAAAGACAGAAACUGAGAGCGAAGAAUGAAAGGAAUUCCCGUGAAUGAUGCCCCAUAACAAGGAAUCCAGAAGUCUCCUGUGCGGAGAAGAUUAGUUAUCCUGAGUGUUGGGUGUGUCUGUGUCGGUUUCUAUUUAUAAGUGGUGUCUUUUGGUUCUUGAAAGUCAAAAGUAUGUUUGUUAUUAAACUCAAAUAAGAGGCUUGAUUCUCCAUUCUAACUUCGUUGUAUUUAUGAAAAAUUAUUAAUUAGUAACCAUCUGUCUUUAACCAA